GCAAGCGUUACUNGGAAUCACUGGGCGUAAAGGACGCGUAGGCGGAUUAUCAAGUCUCUUGUGAAAUCUAACGGCUUAACCGUUAAACUGCUUGGGAAACUGAUAAUCUAGAGUAAGGGAGAGGCAGAUGGAAUUCUUGGUGUAGGGGUAAANUCCGUAGAUAUCAAGAAGAAUACCUAUUGCGAAGGCGAUCUGCUGGAACUUAACUGACGCUAAUGCGUGAAAGCGUGGGGAGCAAACAGGAUUAGAUACCCUGGUAGUCCACGCCCUAAACGAUGUAUACCGGUUGUUGCUGUGCUAGUCACGGCAGUAAUCCACCUAACGGAUUAAGUAUACCGCCUGGGGAGUACGGUCGCAAGAUUAAAACUCAAAGGAAUAGACGGGGACCCGCACAAGCGGUGGAGCAUGUGGUUUAAUUCGAAGAUACGCGAAGAACCUUACCCGGACUUGAUAUCUAACAAAUCAUCCAGAGAUGGAAGAGUGUCUGCUUGCAGAAAUGUUAAGACAGGUGCUGCACGGCUGUCGUCAGCUCGUGUCGUGAGAUGUUGGGUUAAGUCCCGCAACGAGCGCAACCCACGUCAUUAGUUGCUAACGGUUCGGCCGAGCACUCUAAUGAGACUGCCUUCGUAAGGAGGAGGAAGGUGUGGACGACGUCAAGUCAUCAUGGCCCUUAUGUCCGGGGCGACACACGUGCUACAAUGGCAUAUACAAUAAGACGCAAUAUCGUAAGAUGGAGCAAAUCUAAAAAAUAUGUCCCAGUUCGGAUUGGAGUCUGCAACUCGACUCCAUGAAGCCGGAAUCGCUAGUAAUCGUAGAUCAGCCAUGCUACGGUGAAUACGUUCCCGGGUCUUGUACUCACCGCCCGUCACACCAUGGGAGUUGAUUUCACUCGAAGCGGGAAUGCGAAAUUCG
rnacentral:rRNA from 1 species